GACGAAGGGGGCUAGCGUUGUUCGGAAUUACUGGGCGUAAAGGGCGCGUAGGCGGUCAGCACAAGUCAGUUGUGAAAUCUCCGGGCUUAACUCGGAAAGGUCAACUGAUACUGUGCGACUAGAGUGCGGAAGGGGCAACUGGAAUUCUCGGUGUAGCGGUGAAAUGCGUAGAUAUCGAGAGGAACACCUGCGGCGAAGGCGGGUUGCUGGGCCGACACUGACGCUGAUGCGCGAAAGCCAGGGGAGCGAACGGG
rnacentral:rRNA from 1 species